GACGUUGAAGGUGAAUUGGUUGCACCACUGCCGUGCCAAGGCAGAGUUUGUGGGUUCGAGCCCCAUCAGCGUCU
rnacentral:tRNA from 1 species